CUCAUUAAGAGUGGUGGAGGGACUGGCCCGAUGAGACCACGGCAACCGGUUAACGAAGCGUGCGUUAAUGUCCAGGUGCCAAAUCCAGCUUAAGCCAAAGACGGUUUGGGAAAAAUGAGA
rnacentral:ncRNA from 1 species